rnacentral:rRNA from 1 species
GACGAACGCUGGCGGCGUGCUUAACACAUGCAAGUCGAACGGAAAGGCCCUGCUUUUGUGGGGUGCUCGAGUGGCGAACGGGUGAGUAACACGUGAGUAACCUGCCCUUGAAUUUGGGAUAACUUCAGGAAACUGGGGCUAAUACCGGAUAGGAGCUCCUGCUGCAUGGGGGGGGUUGGAAAGUUUCGGCGGUUGGGGAUGGACUCGCGGCUUAUCAGCUUGUUAGUGGGGUAGUGGCUUACCAAGGCUUUGACGGGUAGCCGGCCUGAGAGGGUGACCGGCCACAUUGGGACUGCGAUACGGCCCAGACUCCUACGGGAGGCAGCAGUGGAGAAUAUUGCACAAUGGGCGGAAGCCUGAGGCAGCAACGCCGCGUGCGGGAUGACGGCCUUCGGGUUGUAAACCGCUUUCGCCUGUGACGAAGCGUGAGUGACGGUAAUGGGUAAAGAAGCACCGGCUAACUACGUG